UACGAGUGCCCCAAGCGUUAUCCGGAAUCACUGGGCGUAAAGGGUGUGUAGGCGGUUGUGUUAGUCUUCUGUCAAAUUCUUCGGCUUAACCGGGGGUCCGCAGGGGAAACGGCACAACUAGAGGAUGCGAGGGGUGAGUGGAACUCAUGGAGUAGGGGUGAAAUCCGUUGAUAUCAUGGGGAACACCGAAAGCGAAGGCAGCUCACUGGCGCACUCCUGACGCUGAAACACGAAAGCGUAGGUAGCGAAUGGG
rnacentral:rRNA from 1 species